rnacentral:rRNA from 1 species
UUGAUCCUGGCUUCAGAAUGAACGCUGGCGGCGUUGCCUAACACAUGCAAGUCGAGCGAGAAAGCUCCUUCGGGAGUGAGUAAAGCGGCGGACGGUUGAGUAACACGUGAGAAUCUGCCCUCUAGUGGAGAAUACCCUCGAGAAAUCGAGGCUAAUUCUGCAUAAGUCCCUACGGGGAGAAAGGUGGCCUCUUUGCUAUCGCUAGAGGAGGAGCUUGCGGCCUAUCAGUUUGUUGGUGAGGUAAAGGCUUACCAAGGCUAUGACGGGUAACUGGCUUGAGAGAGUGGUCAGUCAGAUUGGAACUGAGAUACGGUCCAGACUCCUACGGGAGGCAGCAGUGAGGAAUAUUGCGCAAUGGGCGAAAGCCUGACGCAGCGACGCCGCGUGGAGGAUGACGGCCUUCGGGUUGUAAACUCCUGUUAGGUGGGAAGAAAUCCCCAGCUCUAAUACAGUUGGGGGAUGACGGUACCAUCAGAGAAAGCACCGGCUAACUUCGUGCCAGCAGCCGCGGUAAUACGAGGGGUGCUAGCGUUAUUCGGAAUUACUGGGCGUAAAGGGUGUGUAGACGGCAUGUUAAGUCGACUGUUAAAUACUUCGGCCCAACCGAAGAGAUGCGGUCGAAACUGGCGUGCUAGAGGGUGGAAGAGAGAAGUGGAAUUCUCGGAGUAGCGGUAAAAUGCGUAGAUCUCGAGAGGAACACCGAUGGCGAAGGCAGCUUCUUGGUCCAUUCCUGACGUUGAAACACGAAAGCGUGGGGAGCAAACAGGAUUAGAUACCCUGGUAGUCCACGCCGUAAACGAUGAUCACUAGACGUCGGAUUUGUUUUACAGAUUCGGUGUCGUAGCUAACGCGUUAA